UACGAGUGCGUCGAGCGUUAUCCGGAAUCAUUGGGCGUAAAGGGUGUGUAGGUGGCGAUGUUAGUCUCACGUUAAAUUCUUCGGCUUAACCGGGGCGCUGCGUGGGAAACGGCAUUGCUUGAGGUUGGUAGGGGUCUCUGGAACUCUAAGUGUAGCGGUGAAAUGCGUUGAUAUUUAGGGGAACACCAAAAGCGAAGGCAGGAGACUGGACCAAAUCUGACACUGAAACACGAAAGCGUGGGUAGCGAAUGGG
rnacentral:rRNA from 1 species